UAACAGAGAGACAAAACAUUUCAAGAUGGAUUUUAUCAUUAAUUUACAGGUUUGGUUCCAUAAUUACUUUUUUAACUAUUUACAACAAUAAACACCAAAGAUGUGAAACUUAAAGGUUUGUUAUACAUCAAUUUGCUUACAUGAAAGACUGGCUGCAUAUGUUUUUCUUUGUUGUUCUUGCAGGUUUCAAAACUACAUGCCCUGCCAAUUCUGUUUCUUGGACAGUUUGACCGAAAGGGCCGUAUAGUAGGGGACGUGAUCACAUAGAGCCAGCGGAUGGUGCUGCACGUGACAUCCUCAUGAAGAUGAGGAAACUUUAUGAACACCUUCUGAGAAAAUUACAAGCUUCACCUCCUGCUAAAAAUUCUACACCAGCAGCUGGACCAUCCUCUGCUGACAGUGUCGAUGCUGGACCAGUCCCAGACCCAGAGGCUCUAAACGAGGAAUUUAUUCUUCAUUUAGAGCCUGAACCAACAUCUUCCCUCUGUCAGCCUCCUGUAUCCUCCUCUUCAUCUCUGCUUCCUCCUGCAUCCUCCUCUUCAUCUCCGCUUCCUGCAUUUCCCUCAAUUUCUACGGCGUACACCUCGGAUGUCCCAAACAAAAAAAGGACAAGGAAAGAAUGCCAAAAACACCGUACACAGAAGAUUUUCAAAUAUGAAGAGAUAGUAGACAGGAGAGUUGUAAAUGAAAAAGAAGUUAAAGUCAAGUGGAAGCCCUGCUCGAUAUGGUAUGUAGUAACAACUUUGUUGGACCGGAACAGACAUUUAUAUUGUUGA
rnacentral:lncRNA from 1 species